rnacentral:tRNA from 1 species
UCCUGGUGGUUUAGAUGGCAAAAUAUCUGCCUGCAGUGCAGGAAACUUGGGUUCAAUCCCUGGGUCAGGAA